AGCUCUCUCACCCCAGAGGCCCAAACCCUGAGUAAGCAGCGAUGCUGCCCUACUCCAGUGGCCCUGGCUCCCAGCUCUGGUGCUGGGUGCUGCUUUGCCUCCUGCAGGCAGGCCCAGUGGAUUCCGGAGUCACCCAGACCCCAAGACACCUGAUCAAAGCACGAGGACAGCAGGUGACACUGAGCUGUUCCCCCCUCUCUGGGCACCUCUCUGUGUACUGGUACCAGCAGGCCCAGGGUCAGGGUCCAAAGUUCCUCCUUCAAUAUUACUACGGGAAAGAGAAAGACAAAGGCGACAUCCCAGACCGGUUCUCAGGCCAACAGUUCUCUGACUACCGCUCGGAGCUGACCCUGAGUGCCCUGGAGCCAGGGGACUCAGCCGUGUUCCUCUGUGCCAGCAGCCUGGCACAGCCCUGCACAGCCCCCGCCACCCUGUGCACAAACCCCUGUGCCCAGUUCAGGAAGUGA